CUUGGUUUACUCUCUCUUCUCUCUUCAUACCCGUCGCCGUCGGUCGUCUCUAGGGUGCCCAGGAAGCAGGAUGUUUCCGCAAUGGGUCUCGACGACGAGCAAGAAGGGCCCUGGGUGCUCACAUAUUUUCCAGUCCUGCCGUUGUUGUUCGUCCCUCUGAUUAUCAAACUAUUCGUUGACCAGGUUUUUUAUGACAAAAAUUUUAACAAAGGGAAGAACAACGUGUCGAGAGUCGUCAGUCUCGAUCUAGCAUGGUUCCGCCGACUGAGCCACUAAAAGUUGCCGAUUUUUGCGUAUGCAACCCGCUCCACGUCCCCACCGCCGCACUCUCUUCUGCACGCUGCUGGUACAGCUGGUAGAGCCGGCGGGCGGAGAGGCGAGUGCAGCGACUGCAGCGCGAGAGGGGCUCGCGCGCACAAUGCAUGGAGUUGUAGAUGUCUAUAAGGAGGCCUUAAACGCAUUUUCCUACAAAACGCGCUGCUGGUGCCAUACAACACAUACUACAGCUGGAGGUUAGCUGGAGCCAAGGAGUUUCCAAUCAUGGAUGCUGCGCAAUGUUGCUGCAGACAACUUUGGAGAACUCAACGAGCAAAUGAUAGCACACUAUUACUGAACGUGGCAGAUCAGCUGGACGGGAGUGUUAGCAACCCCAAUGAUCGGUCUCCAGUGGCACAUUACCCCCGUAAUUGAAAUAGUUGUUUUUAGAGGGCCCAUAAAAUUCCAGAACACACAAAAAAAUAUAAGGAGGAUUUCACCUAGGGAUUAUAGUGGAAAAAUUUACAUUCCACACCAAUGAAAAAAAUUUAAAAAAUUGUGAACAUACUACUGCUGUUAUUCCAAUUCCGAGCUGCAUAUUUCCGAGAAAAUCCAUCUAGCUUCAUCAUUGCUCAACUGAUGCACCUUUUUCUCGCUUGCUCUUCGAUUUGCGAAACCUAAAAACUAUUCCAUCACAUAAAUAGUCAACUUCCAUGCCAGACGUGCUGUAUUGGGCCAAUUGUGCACGACCGAAGCGGCCACGGAGCACUUCUUUGAACAUCAAAUCAGCUGAGGGCAAUUCAAGUGAUGUGAGAACCUCUAGUCGUUGCUUUGAAAAAAGAACCCCACAUUCCAAGAUGGCCUAGAAAAAACAGCAGGUUUAAAAUCUACUUCAUUAACAAGAAAUAACAAUUACCCAGCAUCCCAAUAUUAAAAACGGCAGCGUUUGGGUGGAGGCAGACCUACGACCUGUCUCAACAUCGUCUUCGGGUUCGUCUUGUUCAGCAACAAACUCAUCAGGAAAGUCGACUUUAGGUCCUGUGGCUCCAAAGAUCACUCCCAAAAUUCGGCCAAGUCUUCAUGAAUUGGUGGCGCUGUUGACAUGGGCGAAAAUUAAUGAUCAAAAAUCUUGCCCAAAAUUGUAUAACAAACCUGGAGUGGCCUGAGCAGCUUUGAUCUCUUCUCUCGAUUCUUCUGCCAAAUCGGAGGACAUGAUUUCAUGGUCUGCCGCAGAAAGGGAAACAGAUUGUUUUUCACUGGCUUAGGAGUGCAUUUGUACAUAACUCUUGAUCGUCCGCCCUGUAUGUUUUAAAUGUGUAUUAUAAUGAGUGUUUUGUUAACCCGAAGACUGUCGCAACUAUGAUGUUAUGGCCCUAAAUGAAACCUUUAGCUAUUUUCUGUUCUCUAACUAAAUAGCCCUUCUUUGAAUAUGUAACUUAUAGUUAAAAUUAAAAUUUUAAAUGUACUGUUAACCUCAUAUUUUUUGUACGAUCAAUCAUGCAAUUUUUGCUUCUCGCUUUAAUAAAUAUACAUCAGAAAUUUUAAAAAUGGUUAUUGUGAAAAAAAUUAAAAUAUAAAACGUGAUGAAUUUGAUAAACUUUGGUGUUGCAAACGGAAAGAAAAUAAAAAUUACUUUUUUACCAUCCU